UACGGGGGGGGUAAGCGUUGUUCGGAAUUACUGGGCGUAAAGGGCUCGUAGGCGGCCAACUAAGUCAGACGUGAAAUCCCUCAGCUUAACUGGGGAACUGCGUCUGAUACUGGAUGGCUUGGAUUUGGGAGAGGAAUGCGGAAUUCCAGGUGUAGCGGUGAAAUGCGUAGAUAUCUGGAGGAAUACCGGUGGCGAAGGCGGCAUCCUGGACCGACAUUGACGCUGAGGAGCGAAAGCCAGGGGAGCAAACGGG
rnacentral:rRNA from 1 species